AUUGAACGCUGGCGGCAGGCCUAACACAUGCAAGUCGAGCGGAGCGGCGGACGGGUGAGUAAUGCCUAGGAAUCUGCCUCGUAGCGGGGGAUAACGUUCGGAAACGGGCGCUCAUACCGCAUCCUUUCAGUUUAGCCUAGGCCGGGUUAGCUAUUUGGUGGGGUAAAGGCCUACCAAGGCGACGAUCCGUAACUGGUCUGGGAGGAUGAUCAGCCACACUGGAACUGAGACACGGUCCAGACUCCUACGGGAGGCAGCAGUGGGGAAUAUUGGACAAUGGGCGAAAGCCUGAUGCAGCCAUGCCGCGUGUGUGAAGAAGGUCUUCGGAUUGUAAAGCACUUUAAGUUGGGAGGCGUUACCAACAGAAUAAGCACCGGCUAACUUCGUGCCAGCAGCCGCGGUAAUAC
rnacentral:rRNA from 1 species